rnacentral:rRNA from 1 species
UACGAAGGGGGCUAGCGUUGUUCGGAAUCACUGGGCGUAAAGCGCACGUAGGCGGAUCUUUAAGUCAGGGGUGAAAUCCCGAGGCUCAACCUCGGAACUGCCUUUGAUACUGGGGAUCUCGAGUCCGGGAGAGGUGAGUGGAACUGCGAGUGUAGAGGUGAAAUGCGUAGAUAUCGUUUGGAACGCCAAAGGUGAAAACAGACAGCUGGGAGUGUGCUGACGCUGAGACACGAAAGCCAGGGGAGCGAACGGG